rnacentral:pre_miRNA from 1 species
CAUGUACUCCCUUCGUUUGGAAAUACUCGUCGAAGGAAUGGAUGUAUCUAGACGUAUUUUAGUCCUAGAUACAUUCAUUUUUAUGCAUUUCUUCGACGAGUAUUUCCGAACGGAGGGAGUAUUUG